AACGAACGCUGGCGGCAUGCCUAACACAUGCAAGUCGAACGAGACCUUCGGGUCUAGUGGCGCACGGGUGCGUAACGCGUGGGAACCUGCCCUUAGGUUCGGAAUAACUCCCCGAAAGGGGUGCUAAUACCGGAUAAUGUCUUCGGACCAAAGAUUUAUCGCCUUUGGAUGGGCCCGCGUUGGAUUAGCUAGUUGGUAGGGUAAAAGCCUACCAAGGCGACGAUCCAUAGCUGGUCUGAGAGGAUGAUCAGACACACUGGGACUGAGACACGGCCCAGACUCCUACGGGAGGCAGCAGUGGGGAAUAUUGGACAAUGGGCGAAAGCCUGAUCCAGCAAUGCCGCGUGAGUGAUGAAGGCCUUAGGGUUGUAAAGCUCUUUUACCCGGGAUGAUAAUGACAGUACCGGGAGAAUAAGCGCCGGCUAACUCCGUG
rnacentral:rRNA from 1 species